rnacentral:rRNA from 1 species
CGAUUGAAUGGCUCGGUGAGGCCUUCGGACUGGCCCAGGGAGGUCGGCAACGACCACCCAGGGCCGGAAAGUUGGUCAAACCCGGUCAUUUAGAGGAAGUAAAAGUCGUAACAAGGUCUCCGUAGGUGAACCUGCGGAGGGAUCAUUACAAGUGACCCCGGUCUAACCACCGGGAUGUUCAUAACCCUUUGUUGUCCGACUCUGUUGCCUCCGGGGCGACCCUGCUUCGGGCGGGGGCUCCGGGUGGACACUUCAAACUCUUCGUAACUUUGCAGUCUGAGUAAACUUAAUUAAUAAAUUAAAACUUUUAACAACGGAUCUCUUGGUUCUGGCAUCGAUGAAGAACGCAGCGAAAUGCGAUAAGUAAUGUGAAUUGCAGAAUUCAGUGAAUCAUCGAAUCUUUGAACGCACAUUGCGCCCCCUGGUAUUCCGGGGGGCAUGCCUGUUCGAGCGUCAUUUCACCACUCAAGCCUCGCUUGGUAUUGGGCAACGCGGUCCGCCGCGUGCCUCAAAUCGACCGGCUGGUCUUCUGUCCCCUAAGCGUUGUGGAAACUAUUCGCUAAAGGGUGCUCGGGAGGCUACGCCGUAAAACAAACCCAUUUCUAAGGUUGACCUCGGAUCAGGUAGGGAUACCCGCUGAACUUAAGCAUAUCAAUAAGCGGAGGAAAAGAAACCAACAGGGAUUGCUCUAGUAACGGCGAGUGAAGCAGCAAUAGCUCAAAUUUGAAAUCUGGCGUCUUCGACGU